GGAGGAGCCCAAGCAGGGGAGACAGGUGACACUCCAGGGAGUAAGUAGGUGAGAGGGAGAAGGAAGAAGAAGGUAAACUGAGGCAGGAAACUGGGGCCACAGCAAACACCCUGUUAACAAACACCUCAGCUGAUGCUGAGCACUCCUCAACCAAAACCUUGGUGAAUACCCCAGUGAACAGGGGACACUCUAGUCAACAGCAAACACAGCCUAGUUAAUUGCUAACACCUUCAUUAAGAGUUUUAGCACCUCACUGAACAAGGAGCACCUAGAUAGGAGCCAGCCCCUCAGCGGGAACUCGAUCCAGCUCUAGGUCAGAGCAAGACGCUCCCUGAGGGGCUGCGGGAGGGGCUCCCCUCUGCUGUCCUCCGGGGGCUGCAGCGUGGGGCCUCCACUCCGGCUCCUUCUGCCUGCCUCACGCCCCACUGGCUGCUGCCUGAGCUCUGCUCUGGACCCCCGGCUCACAAAGGGAAGAUGAAAGGCGGCUGGAGCGAGAUGCAUUAUUUAACUCAGGCCCAGGCCCAGCCUCCCCAAGGGGCCUCCAGUUCCUCUUUGUGUCAGAGAUGAAAGUCUAGGCAGGAGCAUGGGUGAGUGGUGCCCCUUCUCUCCCCGCACCCUCCUUCCUCCUCUCUCCUCCUUCUCUCCUCUGUCCAGCUGUCUGAGUCCAGCGUGCUUCUCCCCUCCCCCACCUGGCGCUCCAACCCUCCUUCUUUCUGGAUCCUCCUCUUUGCCCAGCGCCUUUCCUCAGUCUCUCUUCCUCUACUGACUUUCCCACUUCCUGUCUCUGUUUCCACCCUUCCUCCUCCUUUCCCCUCUUUUUGCCUCCCUCCUCACCUCCCUCAUCAUCCUCCAGAUUCAACUCAAGCACCACUUCCUCCAGGAAGCCCUCCCUGACCCCCCAGGCUCUGCAUAUGUCCCCGUGUCUCAUUCCCUCCUGGAACUGUGGUUUUUGCCUUGAGAGCCCCUACUUCUCACGAAUGAGGGCUGAUCAGGUCCAUUACUUAGCAUCUCUUUUCCCGGCAGAAUGUACAUCCCUUGUGUAUACAUUUCCCAUCGUUCUAUCUUGGGUUCCUGGUAUUCAGUGGGUGCUUAAUAGUUGGUUCUGGUAACUGCCUCUCUUUCUGCUUUGUCCUGGCUGCCAAGUGCCCCAGCCAGAGGCUCCCCUGCUUGUCUUUCAUCUCGCUCCUU
rnacentral:lncRNA from 1 species